rnacentral:rRNA from 1 species
CAGCCGCCGCGGUAAUACGUAGGUCCCGAGCGUUGUCCGGAUUUAUUGGGCGUAAAGCGAGCGCAGGCGGUUAGAUAAGUCUGAAGUUAAAGGCUGUGGCUUAACCAUAGUACGCUUUGGAAACUGUUUAACUUGAGUGCAAGAGGGGAGAGUGGAAUUCCAUGUGUAGCGGUGAAAUGCGUAGAUAUAUGGAGGAACACCGGUGGCGAGAGCGGCUCUCUGGCUUGUAACUGACGCUGAGGCUCGAAAGCGUGGGGAGCAGACAGGAUUAGAUACCCCCGUAGUCCCUGUCUCUUAUACA